rnacentral:rRNA from 1 species
UACGUAGGGUGCAAGCGUUAAUCGGAAUUACUGGGCGUAAAGCGUGCGCAGGCGGUUUUGUAAGUCUGUCGUGAAAUCCCCGGGCUCAACCUGGGAAUUGCGAUGGAGACUGCAAGGCUAGAAUCUGGCAGAGGGGGGUAGAAUUCCACGUGUAGCAGUGAAAUGCGUAGAGAUGUGGAGGAACACCGAUGGCGAAGGCAGCCCCCCUGGGUCAAGAUUGACGCUCAUGCACGAAAGACGU